AUAACAGAAAGAGCCGUGUGUGAACCAAGGAGAUAAGGAAGUUCUGCUGAGUCUUUGCACCAAGGAAACUGGAGGUCCCGCUUGGAAUCGAUCACUGAAUACAUAACACACUUCUGGGAAACUUCUGCGUAUGUAACACAAGUAAUGCAUAUAAACUGAAGAUCCUUUGUGUAAGCUGUGCAUAAUAGCAGGAUUACUCUUAUGCAUCCACUGUUGACAUUGAAGAACAUCUGCUUUAUAACACUCCAACACGAGCCUUAGAGAGUUUCACACCCAACUGUCUUAGGGCACCAUGUGCUUUGAGUUCUCUGAUGCUUUUGUCUGAGACUUUAUAGCAGAAAUGCCAAGUCAUGGCCUGAAGCAGUGAUGGAGCACCUGGUGGGAAGGCAGGGCCAGCCCAGGGGAGCUCAGGUGCGAGCAAUGCACUGAGUAACCAGAAGGGCUGGAGCCAGGAACCUCCCCUUCCCAGCCCUCAUUUAAGGGCUGGCAGUGGAGAUGAGAGAAUCUCUCUGGAGAUCCCUGCCUACCUGAGGUUUUCUGAAGACGUUUCUUUUGGCAACCAUGAAAUUUGGGAAAACAUAGAGGACCUCUGUUGCUUUUAAAGUCAACUGUAUUUUCAAGGCAAAAUAGAUAAUGGUUCUGCCUGCUUCCCACUUGUCUAAGUCUUAACAGAAAGAGCAUUGAUCUUAGUAAGACUAAAGCUAUUCAGCAAAGAUAACUGAAUAAGGGACACCAUAUCAGCUACUUGAGAUGAUUCAGUAAUUCAGGAACAAGGAAAAGAUCGGAGGAAAGCAGGGUGUAACAACAAGCGAGAGGAGAAAACAGCAAAACAACACGAGGGUCUCCUUGCUCCUAUCAGCUGGGAGCUACUGGCCAACAACAGCCCAUCCAACAACCAGGAAACAGAGCUGUGGGAAGGGCUGAGUCAUGGCCAAGGGGGGAGGAAACAAGGACAGCAGCUGUACUGGGGACCAAGACUCAGGACUCCCCCACCCAGUCCUGAAAGCUCAGGCUAUGGUUAAGCUUUCCUGACAUCUUUCCACGUGACAGCCUUCGUUCCGUGACCUAAAUGAAAUCGAUUGUACAAUAAUUCUCCUGGUUACAGCAACCUUUGCCCGUAAUCUCAAAGAUUACACCUACUCUCCAGCUGCGGGGCUUUGGGAAGACACAGAGGGAUUUCUGAGCACCAAGGGCUUAUUUUUAAUGCGAUUGCUUGGCUGCUCCUCCCAAAUGACUGAGGGGGGCUGUGUCUUUCUAAUCAGCUGCUUUAGAGUAUGUUAAGAAGAAAAGGCUCUGGAUCUCCUUUGCCCCCCAAGGUCCAUCAGAUUGGUGCUGCAGGGUAACAAAGGCCCUCUGGUGGAGAUCUUCCACCUCAAUGCAGAGACUGGGAUCAAAGCAGGUGUGGGACAUGCACAACGGGAAUGUUUGGUGCAGGGUGGAGGGCCCACCAUCUCAGCACAUAACUUUGAACGCUCUUAAACUAUAAGAUACUGUUCCACCUCCAUUGCAGCCCUGUGCCUGUUAGGCUGCCAGGCAGCCUUUUCUUUCCCAGAACACAGCAGAUGUCAGGCAGACCACAGCCACGAGACACCUGGGAGUGAAUGAGCUGAAAGCAAUGCUUCAGCAGCAGAGAAGAGCUUCUGUCAGCGUUCUGUGCCAGAAGUAAAAGCGGAGCUCCCCCAGCCUCUGUACUGAUGAGAAAAUGGACUGUGGUUUUUAUGGCCUCUGUGUUAAUUGUGUUCCCUUUGACGUGAGGAGAUGCACACAGUGCAGCAUGCAUGGAUUUGAUGCUGCCUGUGGAAGCUGUGCUGCUGCUCAUGGGACUGAUACAGGGAACAACAGGAAAACAGCAACGGGGAACAACAGGAAAGCAGCGUGAACGUCACGUCCCAAGGAGAAGUUGUGUGCCACGUGUUUUCCGAAGAUAAAACAGGUACAAACAUCUGUUUGUAAAGUGGCACACUCCCAAACCUUGCUCUGAAAUCCUUGGGAGAACAAAUCUCACCUUCAGGCUGCAGUUCUUUGUCUUCACAACGGCUGUAAAACCAGACCCCCAGAAGUGAAAAACAAACCUGAACUCCACAAAGAUCAGUAGAGCAGCUGCAGUUCCCAUGACAAACUACUACCCUCAGUGCACUGGGCAGAAAGAAGAGCACUGUGUGAUUAACUGUUCCCUCUUAGAACAUCAGGCAGCGAUACUAUCAGCACCCACCUGCCGUUCUCCAGUUCCCUGCCCUCCCUGCUCUCAGCAGCUUUGCAUGGGGUCACUCUGGGAGAGCAGCUCCUCGUUGCUGUGUCCUUUCACGUUUCACUUAGAAGCUGGCAAACCUGUCUCAAAUCCUGAAAUUAAACUCAGCCCUGCUGCCUUUGUUAUUACUUUAAUCUUUACAUUGCUUAAAUACUAUUUGCUCCUGCUCUCAGCUGGCAGCCAUCAAUCUUAUCCCAGUGCAAAGUAAACGUGUCUUCGUGUAGAAAAACUGUCUCAUCGCUGUCAGACACUCAGCACAUGCACAUCCUAUGGUAAUACCAGCAGUAAUGCACGGCCUGGCUGCAGGCCCUACAGAAAUUAUACCAAAAGACUGUUGAAGAGUUAGCUUCUUUCAGGCUAAGUUAUUGUCUUCUGAUUAAAGCAAUUGUAAGAAAACAAACUGAGCUUUAUAAUGGCACUACAGGCAGAUGUGGAAGACUUGAUAUCAUUUUUCUUCUUACCUAUAGCAAAAAGAAGACCUUAGAUCUGAGCAGCUACAGAAGACUGCCUGCCUCCUUCCACAGCCACUUGAGCUGGAAGACUUCUGCACCAAUGACACAACUUAAAUGCAAGUAUUUGUCUAAUUCUAAAUUGAAGGGGCAGGGGAGCCUGCAGCCUCCUCUUGUGAUUUUGGUGAGUAAGGCUGGCACUGAGAGCGAUUGUUUGAGAAUGCAGAACCCCCAGAGCACAGUACUGGUGCUGUGGGCACAUCCUGUCAGAACACCUUUAGCUGGAGGAGAGCAUCCACUAGUUGUGCUCCAUCCUGAGGAGAGCAGUAACCGUGCUUUGCAUCACUGCAUGACAUCGCAUGCGCAAAGCGUGGUCAGCUGGGAGGUGAGCUCCAAAAAUAUGCUCAGAAAAUGAGACCUGGCACUGACAGAGACACGUUCCCUCCUUAACAGUAGCUCCAGUCAGAGCAGGUGCCUGAGGAACUGAACUUCAGGUGGACUGAAGUUGUGUAGGACCUGUUGAGGGAGCACAGCAAGACCUCGGCACAGCCUUCUGUCUUGGGAAGGGCUGCGGCUCUGAAGAAGUUCCCUCUCUGCUGCCUGUCCCAGUCACACUAUAGAACACCCAGGGACAACAGAGCAGCCACGCUGCUAGCUGCUCCAGAGAUCUCAUGGGCACGUGGAUGUGGCUGCACCAUUCAGCCAGGGAAACCUCUGGGGAAGUUCUCAGCCUGCACUUCCCACGGUGACCCGAGGUUGUUCUGUUCCUGAGUACGAAUGAGCGACACGUUAUGGUCAUCCUGUACUCACACACCCACGCUCGCAGAGACCCAGAAAGGCUUCAGCCUGAGCGUGGCUCCUUCAGGCAGCCCAGAGGACAGCAGCACAAGGGGCCCGCAGCUCCCAGCAGCCGAACGCCUCCGUAACAGCUGUGGCAGCUGCCGCUCCGAUCCCCGUGGGAGGCAGAACCGAGGUCUGUGCGCUCCCGUGGCUGGAGCCUCCUGCCAGUAUUUCCUAACGGGAACGCGCUGUUGCACAACGGCAUCCAUGAGCAGGAAGGGCUCUUCUCGUUUCACGGGGAGCUGCCAACGCGCUGACGGACACCGCCUGCACCGUCCCCACCAGCCGCAGCGUUUCUCUCUCCCCGUCUGUCCCGGCCCCGCUCCCCUUUCCCCGCAGCCCCUCGGCGGGCCGUACGACAGCCUCCGUUCCGCCUAUUUCCGAGCCCGUGCCCUCGCUCGCACACGGUGACAUUUCGGGCCCCGGCACGCCCGACCCUUCCGUCCCCGCGCCGCCGGCACAGCCGGGCCUCCCCGUCCCCCUCCGGCUUCGCCUCCCGAGGCCGCUUUGCCCGCGGCACGGAGCCCCGGCUUUCCGUCUCUCGGCGCCCCGCGCGCUGCCCUUCCCGGCCCCG